rnacentral:rRNA from 1 species
UACGGAGGGUGCGAGCGUUGUUCGGAAUCACUGGCCGUAAAGGGCGUGUAGGCGGUCUGCUAAGUCUGAUGUGAAAGCCCGGGGCUCACCCCCGGAAGGGCAUUGGAAACUGGCGGACUCGAGUCCCGGAGAGGAGGGUGGAAUUCCUGGUGUAGCGGUGAAAUGCGUAGAUAUCAGGAGGAACACCGGUGGCGAAGGCGGCCCUCUGGACGGUGACUGACGCUGAGACGCGAAAGCGUGGGGAGCAAACAGG